GUACAUACUUAGAUUGUGGAAACCAGCUGAACUUACAGAAACACUGUUUUCUGUAAGUUCAGCUGGUUUCCACAAUCUAACGCUGUGUU
rnacentral:pre_miRNA from 1 species